UACAUUACUCAAAUGUUUGUAAUAUACCAUGUGAUAUAUUCUAUAUAUUAUAAGACAAUCUGUAUCUGAUUAACUUGUAUGUAAACGUUUUGUUUUUGUUUUGUAUUGUGAGCUUCAAGCUUUGUGUGUUUUCUGUACCACAGUCAGGGCUGUUUUCCUGUUGUGAUGGGAGGGUUGUUGGGUGUAGACGUCUUUCACACGUGAUUUUAAGCACUUUCCAAAGAGUAACUUACAUUAUCUCUUACAUUAUCUCUUACAUUAUCUAUGACAGUAAUAAUUUACAGUAAUAAUUUGGACCUUUAUUUUUUGUUGUUCAGUUGAACUUUGAUACAAACACAACUACUAUACUAUGAUCAGGUGUGGAGCCUGACUUCCUGCUCUAUACUAUGAUCAGGUAUGGGGCCUGACUUCCUGCUCUAUACUAUGAUCAGGUGUGGAGCCUGACUUCCUGCUCUAUACUAUGAUCAGGUGUGGGGCCUGACUUCCUGCUCUAUACUAUGAUCAGGUAUGGGGCCUGACUUCCUGCUCUAUACUAUGAUCAGGUAUGGGGCCUGACUUCCUGCUCUAUACUAUGAUCAGGUAUGGGGCCUGACUUCCUGCACUUCCUGAGGAUGAUGUCAUACUUUCACUUUCAGCUGCUUGUCUCCCCUCUGGCAGGACCAGUCCAAAUAUAACAUGAAGGAUCCAUUGGCCUAGUGUGAGACCAUGAAAACCGUGAGGUAUCAUGGGUAAAUUGUGACUGACUGAUGUACAAAUAAUAUUAAGUAGUUAUUUAUGAUGCAAGGUGGUUUGUAGAUCAGUCAAGUCUCGUCUUUAAAUUCGGCGGCCAUGUCUAACGGUCCCAUUUUGUUUUUCUGGGCGGGAACAUACAUAGACCAUGUUACAUACAUGAUAUAUACACAUAGACCAUGUAUGAUUUAGUUGUAUUACCAUAGUGAUGAGACUUUUCUCCUGUAACUUUCACAGGAGUGUUUAUUUAUGAAUCCUUUUGUAUCAAAGAAAUACAUUGGAACAACCAAAACAACUGAGCCGCCCCAAAUAUAAAAGGAACAUUGUUAAUAUGAUUUGUUGAUAUGUUUUCAUUAAUUACUAAAGCAAUACUCUUUUAUAAGGUCAUUGUUAUUAUAUUGACAUCACAAAUGCAGAAUGUGUGGAUUAAGACGUGUUUUCUAAUUCUUUCAUCAACACACAUACGCAUUACUUUUUGUAAAUAAAUGUAUG
ensembl:lncRNA